GCUAAAGUGGCAGAUUUAAAUGCGAGGAAUUUAAGCUUCCUUUAUGUUUUAUUCCUUUAGAA
rnacentral:tRNA from 1 species